UACGGAGGGUGCAAGCGUUGCUCGGAAUUAUUGGGCGUAAAGGGUAGGUAGGUGGUCUCAUUUGUCUGUGGUGAAAGCCUUGGGCUUAACUCAAGAAGUGCCUCAGAAACGGUGAGACUAGAGUUCUGGAGAGGGUCGUGGAAUUCCCGGUGUAGCGGUGAAAUGCGUAGAGAUCGGGAGGAACACCAGAGGCGAAGGCGGCGACCUGGACAGAUACGUGACACUCAACUACGAAAGCGUGGGGAGCAAACAGG
rnacentral:rRNA from 1 species